rfam:Acetonema longum DSM 6540 Contig00035, whole genome shotgun sequence.
UGGAUGGUAUCUUAAAGAGCCAUACCGCUAACAGAUACGGGUUGCCAGAAGGGAAAAUACAAUUUAUAUCCGCUUAGAUCUGCAACGGACUGAGACGGAAGG